CCCUCUGUAGCUCAGCGGUAGAGCCGGCGACUCAUAAUCGCCUGGUCGGAUGUUCGAUUCAUCCCGGAGGGACCA
rnacentral:tRNA from 1 species